UUACAAAAUCAUAGCGGAAGCAUUAACUAACCAAAAGAAAAUGGGUGUUACCGCCACGCUCAGGUAUCUCUCUUAUACCCAAACGCUAAGGCUAAUAAUACAAC